UGUUUUUUUUUUUUUUUCCAGAAAUUUGAAAGUGCCAUAGUUAAUAAUUUAGCUGAAUUCUUUCAGGUACAUACUUGAAUGGUAGCCAUAUAUAUCUGCAUACACAGGAGUUCUUGACAUUCAUUUCCAUCAAGCACCCCUCUUGAAAGAUUACUAAACAUCAAAUUGACUUCCAACCUGAAUGAAAUUGUGGUUUAAGUCAAGCCAUAUUCAUUAUAGAUUAUCACUGGACUAUAGCUACUACUGUACUCUACUUUAUACUUUUAAUGGGAUUCUCAAGUUAUGGUGUCAUCAAAUUUCUCUUUCUUAAAAGAGUGAUAAAUUUCAAGGUGGUGAAACCAGUAUUACUGAAUUGUUUUCUCAUUACUCCAUUUUUCAAGACUACCAGUUUGGGUCAUUAUUUGAACUUUAAGGAUAUAACUUCCCCCAGAUACCACCUUGUUGGUCUUUAAAUUAGAAUAGCUAACUAUAGCUAUAUAACAUUUUGUACCAGUUACCACUUUCUUAACUAUCCUUGGUGUAAAGAACGUAUCCUUA
rnacentral:lncRNA from 1 species